UGGUCAUUACCAAAGCAUUUAGAAUGGAGUUUCUAAUUUGCUGUGGACAUGACCAUAAAAAAUUUCCCACUAGGUUUUCUAUCUGUUACCGUGUUAGCAAUCAGCCUAUUGGGAACAUUU
ensembl:snoRNA